AUCGAUGAAGAACGCAGCGAAAUGCGAUAAGUAAUGUGAAUUGCAGAAUUCAGUGAAUCAUCGAAUCUUUGAACGCACAUUGCGCCCCUUGGUAUUCCGAGGGGCAUGCCUGUUCGAGCGUCAUUAUAACCACUCAAGCUUCGGCUUGGUCUUGGGGUUUCGAGGUUUCUCGGCCCUUAAAAUCAGUGGCGGUGCCAUCUGGCUCUAAGCGUAGUAAUUUUUCUCGCUACAGGGUCCAGGUGGUUACCUGCCAAUAAACCCCCCCUUUUAAGGUUGACCUCGGAUCAGGUAGGGAUACCCGCUGAACUUAAGCAUAUCAAUAAGCGGAGGAAAAGAAACCAACAGGGAUUACCUCAGUAACGGCGAGUGAAGCGGUAACAGCUCAAAUUUGAAAUCUGGCUCUUUCAGGGUCCGAGUUGUAAUUUGUAGAAGAUGCUUUGGGUGAGGCUCCGGUCUAAGUUCCUUGGAACAGGACGUCAUAGAGGGUGAGAAUCCCGUACGUGACUGGGUGCCUUUGCUCGUGUAAAGCUCUUUCGACGAGUCGAGUUGUUUGGGAAUGCAGCUCAAAAUGGGUGGUAAAUUUCAUCUAAAGCUAAAUAUUGGCCAGAGACCGAUAGCGCACAAGUAGAGUGAUCGAAAGAUGAAAAGCACUUUGGAAAGAGAGUUAAACAGUACGUGAAAUUGUUGAAAGGGAAGCGCUUGCAACCAGACUUGCAUGCUGUUGAUCAUCCGAGAUUUUUCCCGGUGCACUCGGCAGUAUUCAGGCCAGCAUCGGUUUCGGUGGGCGGAUAAAGGCCUUGGGAAUGUAGCUUCUUUCGGGGAGUGUUAUAGCCCUCGGUGCAAUGCGCCCUACCGGGACCGAGGACCGCGCUUCGGCUAGGAUGCUGGCGUAAUGGUUGUAAGCGACCCGUCUUGAAACACGGAA
rnacentral:rRNA from 1 species